GGAGGGAUGUAGUUCAGUGGUGGAGCACAUGCUGUAUAUACAAAAGGCCCUAGGUUUGAUCCCUGGGAUCUCCC